AUCGACCUCUUCAAAUGUCAGAUGCUACUUUUGAGCUAAGCUUAAAAUAACUGCCUUUGCAAUUGUGAAAGCUACUACUUAAAGAGAAACAAACCGUCACGUGACGGGAGAACCAAAUGCAGUCUUAAAGGCAUCCUUCUACAACCAGAUGUGACGAAUGUAACCAGGUAGAGUGAUAUGUGUUCUCAGUGCCUCAGGAAUGACAGCACGUUCAACCCUGAAGACUAUUCCAUCUUGGUGUCUCAACUCCUCUUUUAACGAGAAGGCUCAGCGCUGGGCUGUCCCGCAUGCGGCUCAGGACAGCGUCUGCGGUGAAGAGACGCGUCCAAGCUUCAGCCUGCUUGGGUUCCGGCCAAAACCGCUUCCCGUCGUGACGUCAGGCAGCCUCGGACCAAUCCUCGCUUCGGUCCGUUCGGAAACUCAGUCCGAUGCUCCCGAGACCGCGGCAACCGGAGACAGAGCUUGCUCCACUUUCUAUAACUUUGCUCGUGAAGGUGUUGGCUAUUGCUAGGGAUAAGUCAGUACGUCCGCCAUAUUGAAUGUGUCACUUUUACUUGCAUGGAGUGGCACACACAUGAACAACACUCUUGAGUUACCGAAGUUUCCGGAAUGCGGAGAGCGCGCCCGGAGUGAAUUUUAGUGAUGUUCACCGAAGGACUAUGCGUUGUUGUCACAUAUUGUAAACUAGGAAAUGCGGGGAGAUUUAAAUAAAUAAAUAAAAUAAAAUAUC